UUCAGCAGAAUUUAGAAACACAACUCUUCCUAAACAGAUAUUUUGAGGCUGUGAGGUUGAACGUUUGAGAGUAUAUCAGUGUGUUUGUUUGUGGUCUUUCUGUUUCUAGGUGGAAGCUGAAUUAGUGAGGAUGACUCCUGCUCCUGUCAUCUCUAAGCUCCUCACACAUCUUUACCUGCACAUGAGGAAAAUCACUCCUGUAGAAUGCAGAUGUUCAGAGGGAGAUGAUGCCACAUCUGGUCCAGCUGAUGGAAGGUCUUGAAGUUCUCUGACUGGCCUCGACUGAAGAUGGUCGUCUCACUGGAUUUAAGGUUCAGAUGCUCAGUAACAAACUCCACCAAUGAGCCAACAGGGAAGCUUUAGGUUUAUUAAAUGUUGCUAUGAAGGUAUCGCUGUUUUUCUUUGUGAAUGCAAUGUGUUCCAACUGAAACUUGAAUUAGAACUUGGAAGUAAAUCCUUCCAUCUGAAAGGAUUUAGUUGCAUUAAUAACCUCAUAACAUUCUAAUUUUUAUUCCAGUCUUGGUUGGAAAUAGAAUCUCUGUAUUGAUUCAGGUAAAAACUGAACUUCACAGCAUGUUGGAGCAAAACAACCAGAUGAAAACUGUGAUGGUGUUGGAUUGUCAGACCGUAAUGUUGCAGCUCAAAGCAGCUUUUCUAUCUCAGUUCAUUCUGACAUUCAGCUAUGAAUCAACACAGCAGAUGGUGAUCCAUGCUGUGGAAGUCUCACAUCUCCUGAUUUAAUGGAGCUGCUUUGCACUUUUUACACUGUUUAUUCACCAACACUUUAUUUAAUAAAAGUCCCAUCAAGUUUUUAUGAGGAAUGUGAUGUUUUAAUUUCUCUGUGAAUAACUGCAGUCUAAUGUAACAGCUGGAGUUGUAACGUGUCCUGAUAUUGAUCAUGAAGUAUUGAUCAGAAUACUUAUGGUUAGCAGUCAUCCCUGAAGUUUUACAUUAAAAUCUUUACUUGUGUUGUGAACUUUGGUAAGAAGCAGAAAUGUUAGCGUUGCCAUGGAUACAUGAGUGUUAAAUUCUGUCCAUGUUUCCAUUUUGGGAAAUUCAGUCCAGUUCCAGAAUGUGGAGGAAUUUAGUCUCACAAUCACAGACAACAAA